AUUGAACGCUGGCGGCAUGCUUUACACAUGCAAGUCGAACGGUAACAGGCCGCAAGGUGCUGACGAGUGGCGAACGGGUGAGUAAUGCAUCGGAACGUGCCCAGUCGUGGGGGAUAACUGCUCGAAAGAGCAGCUAAUACCGCAUACGAUCUGCGGAUGAAAGCGGGGGACCUUCGGGCCUCGCGCGAUUGGAGCGGCCGAUGUCAGAUUAGGUAGUUGGUGGGGUAAAGGCUCACCAAGCCAACGAUCUGUAGCUGGUCUGAGGGGACGACCAGCCACACUGGGACUGAGACACGGCCCAGACUCCUACGGGAGGCAGCAGUGGGGAAUUUUGGACAAUGGGGGCAACCCUGAUCCAGCAAUGCCGCGUGCAGGAAGAAGGCCUUCGGGUUGUAAACUGCUUUUGUACGGAACGAAACGGUCUGGGUUAAUACCCUGGGCUAAUGACGGUACCGUAAGAAUAAGCACCGGCUAACUACGUGCCAGCAGCCGCGGUAAGAC
rnacentral:rRNA from 1 species